UCUUCAUCUCUGAUAUUUGAGAUCGACACACAAACUGAGUUCUGAAAGCGUUGAUUCGUCUUCACCAAAGUGGACAACGUAAUCUAGGGUUCAUCUUAUUCUUCGAUCCCUGAGCAUCUUCACCAACAAUGGAGUUUCUAGAGGAUGCGUGAGUUGAAUAGUCUUGAAGAAUCUCUGUAAGAAGCUUCGAUUGCGUCUUUACGCCUUCCUUUCUAAUCUUUCGAAACGUUAAUGGUUAUUAAUUCAUCGCUUUAACAAACAUCUUAAUACCAUCAACCCACGUCGAGCACGAUCUGAGAUUGAUUCAUCUUAUCCCUCUGCAAGUCGGUCUCUCUGCACCUAUAAAAGGUAAGCCAUCUUUCCUUGAACAUCAUCCUCUCAAUACGUGAUAACACCAAAGUUAAUUUAUUAUGUGAAUGGCUAACUCAUCAAUCCUCUUCUUUAAUGGCUUCUCGAGCUGCGACACAAGAAGCUGCGACACAAGAAGCAGCGAUGAACGGAGUCCUCAUCGGUUCGAAUCAGCCCUAAGGACGACGGAGUCGCGGAGAUCUCUGAUCCCGUACCUCUCAUUCCUCCUCUCGAUAUCUCUCGCUCAUCAUGGCCACUCUCUCUUCUUCUUAUGAUCUUAAUCAGCUUUGAAAUUGAACUUUGAUAUUGGAUUACGGAUUGUGGAGUUUUAGUUCGUCUACGAAAUGAAAUUGCAUUCUUGACCUUCUGAAUAUUGCUUGAUUGUCUAUAGAGGAGGAUUACGUGGCUAUGUGAGUAGAUGGAGUUGAGAUGAGGAUGCUAGCUCUUACAGCUUUAGAUGUUCUACGGUUCCUCAGAUUUUUCAAUCGAUACAGGUUUUUGUGUUUUGAGUGAACUUUUGACGCUUAGGAAGUGAGGAUAUGCAAGAGUUCAGUGUGUAGCAUGCAAGACAACAGAUGAGUUAUUGCAAUAAGCUGGCUAAACUUGAUGGAGUUCCAUACCGUGAUUUCACUGGAUAGGUCUAGGGUUUUUUUUUGGAAAAUAAAAAAAUUUAGUUUGCAUCUUAUUGAGGGGUUAACAUGAUAAACUCAAGCAUCUUGCUUAGUUGUUGUUUGUCUUGCGCUGUGCGCUGUUCGCAGGAGAAGAUUUGCCUAUUCUCUACGGGUUUGAAUGUAAGGAUAAUGUUUGAGACCAACACACGAAACCCACCGGGUCUUAUAAA